CCCUUAUUGCUAGUUACCAUCAUUAAGUUGGGGACGUCUAGCGAGACUGCCAGUGAUAAACUGGAGGAAGGUGGGGAUGACGUCAAAUCAUCAUGCCCCUUAUGACCUGGGCUACAAACGUGAUACAAUGGCUGAAACAAAGGGCAGCGAAGCAGUGAUGUGGAGCGAAACCCAAAAAAGCAGUCUCAGUUCGGAUUGAAGUCUGCAACUCGACUUCAUGAAGUUGGAAUCGCUAGUAAUCGUAGAUCAGAACGCUACGGUGAAUACGUUCUCGGGGUUU
rnacentral:rRNA from 1 species